UCAGGGAAGCAGUCUAGCCCAGCGGGCCCCUGGGACCUCAUUCUGUGUCUCCACUGGGUCUGCCUCGCUCCCUGGAAAAGCGAAUCAUCGUGAAUCACUUCCUCCCUGGGCCAAAAACCCAAAGCAUCCUUGACAACAUGCACCGGUGCUGGCUACCGACAGACCUUUUCAGAUGGGACAAGCCUCAAAUCAAUUUUCAUUUCUUCCAGGUGAGCUGCGGGCCUCUCUGCAAACUCGGAUCUUUCUCCAAAUGAUUCACAGAAACAAAUGCUCCCCGGAGGCAGAGGCGGGCCCACGCCUGUGUGCUGUGCUGGCGUCCCGCAACAUUAUUAAUUAAAUCUGAGACAAUA